rnacentral:tRNA from 1 species
AAGGUUUUAAGUUAAAAUAAACUAUUAAUCUUCAAAAUUAAAAAUAUAAAUUAAUAAACCUUA